rnacentral:misc_RNA from 1 species
UCCCCGUUACCGGGGCAGUCUGAAUAGAAAAAUACAACUAUUCAUAAGGGUUGCGCUCGUUGAUGGACUCAACCAAACAUCUCACGACACGAGCUGACGACGGCCAUGCAACACCUGUCACUUGGUUCCCGAAGGCACUCUCGGCUUUCGCCAAAAUUCCAAGGAUGUCAAGUCCAGGUAAGGUUCUUCGCUUAGCAUCGAAUUAAAGAACAUGAUCCACCGCUUGUGCGGGUCCCCGUCAAUUCCUUUGAGUUUUAGCCUUGCGGCCGUACUCCCCAGGCGGGACACUUAUAGCGUUGGCUUCGGCACGGACAGAUUCGACUCCGCCCACACCUAGUGUCCAUCGUUUACGGCGUGGACUAC